AUGCUGGCCUCAGGGCUGCUUCUUCUGGCUUUGCUGGCCUGCCUGACUGCAAUGGUCUUGAUAUCUGUCUGGCGGCAGAGGAAGUUCCAGGGGAAACUGCCUCCCGGACCCAUCCCUUUGCCAUUCAUCGGGAACUACCUGCAGCUGAACACCCAGCAGAUGUACAACUCCCUCAUGAAGAUGCGCGAGCGCUACGGCCCUGUGUUCACGGUGCACCUGGGGCCCCGGCGGAUCGUGGUGCUGUGUGGAUAUGACGCUGUGAAGGAGGCCCUGGUGGACCAGGCUGAGGAAUUCAGUGGGCGAGGAGAGCAGGCUACCUUCGACUGGCUCUUCAAAGGCUAUGGCGUGGCGUUCAGCAACGGGGAGCGCGCCAAGCAGCUCAGGCGCUUCUCCAUCACCACGCUGCGGGACUUCGGCGUGGGCAAGCGUGGCAUCGAGGAGCGCAUCCAGGAGGAGGCGGGCUUCCUCAUCCAGGCCUUCAGGGGCACGCGCGGUACCUUCAUAGAUCCCACGUUCUUCCUGAGUCGAACCGUCUCCAGUGUCAUCAGCUCCAUCGUCUUCGGGGACCGCUUUGACUACGAGGACAAAGAGUUCCUGUCACUGCUGCAGAUGAUGCUGGGAAGCUUCCAGUUCACAGCUACAUCUAUCGGGCAGCUCUAUGAGAUGUUCUACUCAGUGAUGAAACACCUGCCAGGGCCACAGCAACAGGCAUUUAAAGAGCUUCAGGUUCUCAAGGACUUCAUAGCCACGAAGGUGGCACAGAACCAACGCACACUGGAUCCCAACUCCCAGAGGGACUUCAUCGACUCCUUCCUCAUCCGCAUGCAGGAGGCGGCUUGGGUUCCAUCCCUGGUCCAGGAAGUUGUGCCUGCUGUGCAGCUGGGGAAAAAGAAAACAAAAGAAGAAAGAAAAAGAAAGGAAGGAAGGAAGGAAGAAAGAAACAAAAGAAAGGAAGGAAGGAAGAAAGGGAGGAAGAAAGAAGAAAGAGAGAGAGAGAAAGAAAGAAAGAAAACGAAAGAAAAGAGAAGAAAAGAAAGAAAACGAAAGAAAAGAGAAGAAAAGAAAGAAAAGGAGGAGAUGAAUCCCAACACCGAGUUCUACUUGAAGAACCUGGUGCUGACCACACUGAACCUCUUCUUUGCGGGCACCGAGACCGUCAGCACGACCCUGCGGUGGGACUUCCUGCUGCUCAUGAAGCACCCAGAUGUGGAGGCCAAAAUCCAUGAGGAGAUUGACCACGUUAUUGGCAAGAACCGGCAGCCCAAGUUCAAGGACCGAGCCAAGAUGCCCUACACAGAGGCCGUGAUACAAGAGAUCCGGAGAUUUGGAGACAUCAUUCCCAUGGGCGUGGCCCACAGAGUCACCAAGGAUACCAAGUUUCGAGACUUCUUCCUACCCAAGCUGCUGCCCCACCCAGCCUACAGGGAUCUCCAACCUGCUCCCUGUGACCCUGCACCCCGAAAGCGGUACUGUUUCGGAGAAGGCCUGGCUAGAAUGGAGCUCUUUCUCUUCCUCACCACCAUCCUGCAGAACUGCCACCUCAAGUCCCCACAGUCACCCCAGGACAUCGAUGUGUCCCCUAAACACAUGGCCUUUGCCACCAUCCCAGGAAACUACAGCAUGAGCUAUCUGCCCUGCUGUGCCAGGGCUGUGCCAGGGCGGGGCUGCAUCAGAGUUUCCUCUGCCCACAUCCUUGACAACCGCAUCCCCAGCUCCCCUGGUGGCAAACGAUUCUGGGCGUGAAGAAGCAGCAUGGACCAGGCGGAGGAAUUCAGUGGGCGAGGAGAGCAAGCUACCUUCACGUGGCUCUCCAAAGACUAUGGCGUGGCGUUCAGCAACGGGGAGCGCGCCAAGCAGCUCAGGCGCUUCUCCAUCACCACGCUGCGGGACUUCGGCGUGGGCAAGCACGGCAUCGAGGAGCGCAUCCAGGAGAAGGCGGGCUUCCUCAUCCAGGCCUUCAGGGGCACGCGCGGUGCCUUCAUAGAUGCCACGUUCUUCCUGAGUCAAACCGUCUCCAGUGUCCUCAGGUCCAUCGUCUUCGGGGACUGCUUUGACUACAAGGACAAAGAGUUCCUGGCACUGCUGCAGAUGAUGCUGGGAAGCUUCCAGUUCACAGCUACGACUACCGGUCAGCUCUAUGACAUGUUCUACUCAGUGAUGAAACACCUGCCAGGGCCACAGCAACAGGCAUUUAAAGAGCUUCAGGGCCUAGAGGACUUCGUAGCCAAGAAGGUGGCACAGAACCAACGCACGCUGGAUCCCAACUCCCCGAGGGACUUCAUCGACUCCUUCCUCAUCCGCAUGCAGGAGGAGAAGAAGAAUCCCAACAUCGAGUUCUACUUGAAGAACCUGGUGCUGACCACACUGAACCUCUUCUUUGCGGGCACCGAGACCAUCAGCACGACCCUGCGGUGGGGCUUCCUACUGCUCAUGAAGCACCCAGAUGUGGAGGCCAAAAUCCAUGAGGAGAUUGACCACGUGAUUGGCAAGAACCGGCAGCCCAAGUUCGAGGACCGAGCCAACAUGCCCUACACAGAGGCGUUCAUUCACGAGAUCCAGAGAUUUGGAGACAUCAUUCCCAUGGGCGUGGCCCGCAGAGUCACCAAGGAUACCAAGUUUCGAGACUUCUUCCUACCCAAGGGCACCGAAGUGUUCCCUAUGCUGGGCUCUGUGCUGAGAGACCCCAAGUUCUUCUCCAACCCCCGAGAUUUCAACCCCCAGCACUUCCUGGAUGAGCAGGGGCAGUUUAAGAAGAGUGAUGCUUUUGUGCCCUUCUCCAUCGGAAAGCGGUACUGUUUCGGAGAAGGCCUGGCUAGAAUGGAGCUCUUUCUCUUCCUCACCACCAUCCUGCAGAACUUCCACCUCAAGUCCACACAGUCACCCCAGGACAUCGACGUGUCCCCCAAACACGUGGGCUUUGCCACCAUCCCACCAAACUACACCCUGAGCUUCCUGCCCCGCUGAGCCAGGGCUGUGCCAGGGCGGGGCUGGUGGGUGGGGCAAAUGGGG